GUUUUUCUUGUAGGAGAAGUUACUCCUGGAGGAGGUAUUGGCAUUCCAUCGACUAGGAAGAUACUCAAAGGUCGCUUAACUAAUGAAGUUAUACAUAAAGAACUGAAUAAGAAGUCUCAGCCCCUGAUCAGUUCUCAAGGUAUCAUUUUGGCUGGAAGUGCGCUGAAGAACUCCAAGAAAAUCACCAGGAAAAAACGGGCCUUUGUGCCAAAUAUUGUUCUGUGAGUCACUUCACCAAAUACAAAAGUGAAGAUAUGCUGAGGUUGAGAACACUGAAAGCAGAAAUUCUCUAGAGGAGGAUGCAUUUUCACAGGUGAAGAAAUUGGGAAAAUCAUAGUGGAAGAAGGGACUGUGUUAAAUAGACAAGGAAAAAUACUGAGAGGAAAAUAGCAGAGUGCCUUUCAACGUGGAAGCAGAAAAAUGAGUGUCUUCCUGCAGAGACGGAAAACACUUUAUCAUACUAAUAUCAGUUAGUCAAUAUUGUAAGAAAAAAUUUAAAAGAUGAAAGAACACAGAAGAUUAUAACAUUAAAAAAGU